rnacentral:lncRNA from 1 species
AUUUUCUGAGUUACUUAGUAAAACACUGUGUUUGGUGCCAACAUCCAUUGCUGGUAAUUGUCUUAUACAAAAAAAAAAAAAAAAAAAAAAGACAUUUAUGAAACAGCCAAGUGUCAGGGAUAAAUAUGAGCCCUGAGGCAGGCCAUUAUUUUGAGACCUGCACCUCCUUUUGAGAUGAAACCUGGAAUUUCUCAGAAGCAGUUUUACAUCAUGACAGCUCACAAUGCAGAAACAAUGGUGUAUUUUUUAAAUCAUUAUCACUUGUUAUGUCACAAGCUUUGUACUGAGACCACCACUGAAGACACAGGUGCUGAAUGCCAGCUCCUGAUCAGAAGAACUACACUGCAGGCUUUCCAGCCUCCAUUAGUACAUCUAAUGCCAGAUACACAGUGCAAGAAAUCUAAACUUGCACCCUAUCGAAGAGAUGGAUUGAAGUGCAUAGCUGAUGCCUCUGGUGCCCUAAGUGUGGUCAAAAGAAGAGCAGUUGAAUAAAUACAAGGGUACAGAAGAUGGGGAUGAAAUGCCAUGGUGAUGAUCUCCAGAGGGACCUCAUAGGACUGCAAGAAUCAUCAGAAAGGUGGUGGAUGAGGAUCUAUGCAAGUAAAUGUUACAUACCCAGGGAAAAAAAGUCCAUAUCAUACCUGCAUGCUUCUGUACUCAAAGCUAUCAGUUAACACUCAGGAAUUAUAUCCUGGAGUCCUCAUUGGAAGUUCUCUGAAACCACUGUCCCAGAGCGUUACAGCAACAUUUUUUUUUACCUUUAUCAGAAAUGGUUUUGAAAAAAAGAUGUCCUCAAGGGAGUCAUUCUGUUGUUACACAAAACUUCAGUGCACCCACAUAUUGAGCAAGAUGUGCAGUUCUGGUCUCUGCUUCUCAGGAAGGCCUCAGUGGAGGUAAGAUAAGGUCCAGAUAAAAUUAAUUAAGAUAAUCAAGAGUGUGGCACAGCUGUCUUUAAAGGAGAGACUGAAAAGAGUCCAGAGACCCACCCGUCCAGAGCAAAGAAAGCUGGGGAGGUGGAGGAUGAGAUUAAUGUUCAUAAAAUCAUGAAGGUAACUGAUAAAUCAAACAAGGAAGAGCUUUUUCAAUAAAAUUAGAAGAAGAUCAGAAAACA